UCCUAAUGUUGCCUAUAUCUGUCUUUCAGGUGAUGGUGGUUAUGGCUGCUACUCUUGGCUCCUUACUCCAUUGUCCCAACCUGAUUCUCCUGCUGAACACAAUUAUAAUAAUGCACAUAAGUCUACGCGGAAUGUGAUAGAAAGAUGUUUUGGGGUGCUGAAAUUUAGGUUUCGGUGUCUGGAUAAGUCUGCUGGGCUUUUGUUGUAUAGUCCCUCAAAGGUGACUAGGAUUGUUUUCUGCUGCUGUUUUCUUCAUAAUAUGUGUUUGCGCCAACAUCUGCCACAUGUUGGUGAUGAAGAAAACAGCCAGCAAGUAGGUGAGCUAGAUACAUCUGGUGACAGUGUGAGUACAGAUGUAGGGAGGCAGGUAAGGCAAGAAGUGAUUCUGCGUUAUUUUAACGACAGCUGAGGGGAUUGUGGAUCCUCGCUUUGUGGACUGGCCAAAAUUGCUUGUGGUGGCAGGGACAACACUGCGGAGAUGCGCUGUUGGGAUGGUGAUGAUGGUGCUGCAGAUUCAGCCUCAAGACGGCGUCUCUUGGUUGGCCUCCUAGGCACAGUCACCGAGCCCUGUGAUGGGCGCCUUAGUGGAGGGGGGUUUGCAGAAGAAGAACCUAUGUGAUAAGAUAAACAUUAACAUUUUGUGUUUCUAUGUGUUUGCUGAAUAUGUGUUUACAGUGAAUUCUUACCUGCAUUCCCACCAUCUGCAUCACUUGGCAGUGUUGGAUGUGGCCUGUCUGUGCUGCUUCUCUGGCGUACUGUAGAAAUAUUAAGAAUUACCUUAUGACCAUACUUUUUUUUAACAAUGUUUUCUGAAAAUCCUUAUUGUGAUGUAAACAUAUGUGGAACCUGAUAAGUAAACUAAACAAUGCUUA